rnacentral:lncRNA from 1 species
GUUGAAGUAGGGCCAGUUUGUUGUGAUAGGUACUGUAUAUUAUUGCCAGUGUAUGAUCAGAAGGAUUCUGUGAAGGUAAAUGUUGCGGUCCCUACAAGUGCGGUUGACAAAUACUUGUAUCUUUUAAACACUACCACCACCAUUGGCACCUGACAAACAAGAUUUGACGGACGAUAUUCAAUUUCAUGACUUGAUUACACUUUAUAUAUGAAGGAGUACCUCUUCUUUUUUUCGAAUUUAAUGAGUACUAACAUAUAUAUGUUGACUUCAUGUACAUCGAUCGAUCAAUCCACGGAGGAAAAAAAAUGAGUAAAAGAUGAAUUUGUUGACUUUGUAAUUCUUUUGCUUCGUAUAAUUCAAUCUUAUUUAGGCAAUGGAGUUCUCCCUCACUUUCCCUAUAGUCUAAAAAUUGCACUUCCUCUAUCCCAAUUUAUGUGAUACUUUUCAUUUUUUGUUAGUCAAACAAAUUAAGUUUGAUCAGAAAUUUGGGUAUGAAAUCUUUAAUUUUUUGGAAAUGAAAUUUAUAUAUUUGUAAACUACAUAAAAAGUACAUUAAGUCACAAUAAUUGACAGCUCAAAAUAUUUAAAAGAUAUAUGAAGAAUUUACCGUCAAUGGUAGAAUUGGUCACAUAAAUUGGGACAGAGGGAGUAGGUAAUGACUUGGUGCUGGCCGGAGCAUAAGAAAUUUAACCCAUUAGCGGAAGGCAAUUUUUUGAAGAUGCGACGCAAACAUGCUUUUAGGAGAGAGUUUGUGGUUGGUUAUUAUCUAUUAGGUUUCUCUCAUUAAAAGUUGUUUAUCUUAUUUUUAAUUUGUACACGAGUUUAAGAAGAGUAAUUUGAAUUGUGUGGUCAUGUCAAAUCUACUGAAAUAUCUUUUAACCUUUGUAAAUAUGUCACGUGGAAAAUUAGAAUAAAAAAACUGCCUAAAAAAUAAAAGAGAUUUGAAUUCAUCCAUAAAUCAACUUAUAAGAGAUGAAACACGUUGACUACAUGGUUUAUGGGGGUUGUGAGUUGUUUGAACUCUCCAUCAUAUCGGUCCUCAAUACUACUCUCAACAUAUAACUUAACUCAUAUGUUUUACAAAAAACAUUUCCUCAUCCUCAACUUUGAGAUUAUUACUCAAAACUUUUAUUUUAAAAGAGAUAGUACUCAAAAUUUCUCAUGAACUCUUUUGAAAAUCGGUGUUUCCUUUCAUCUUAAAUGUGAAACAUUUACUUUUGAGAAUACUUAGUAUCCAUAUAUCAUUUUAAAGAAAAUGAACUCAACUCUACUUAUCCUCAAACUCAGGUACUCAAGUCUUAAAACAAGUUUUAAAAGAUUGUAAUUUUUUUCUCAAAAUGACUCUAAUGAACUCUCAAGACUUGACUCUUAACUCUACCUUGAAUUUGAAUUAUGGAUUCAAGGGUUAUGAUUUCAUGUUAUAGAUGAUCUCUCGAUGUUUAGACAAUUUGGAGUGUGGAUAUAAAGUAGAAAACAUAGGUACGAUUCGAGGGAACUCACAUGGAAAGAAGGACAAAAAAGUAGGGGACCUGGCGACCCUGACGCACUAAGUGGUGUGGGGCGCCAGCCCCUGAACUACUAAAUAUGGGUUGGGGCACACUGAGUGGCGCGGAGCCCCAUGAUUUAAACUAUAGAAACUUGUUCGGGGCGCACUGAGUGGCGCGGCGCACCACCGCUAUUUCCAGAAAUUUGACAAAUUUUCUUGCUUCGUUUUCAUGUCUAACUCUUCUAUUAUCGAACGAUUCCCCUCAAACUCUUAUGGAUUAUUAGACCCAACAUAAUUACAAUGAAAUCCACUCUAAUUUACUCAAGAACAACACUCAACACAAGAUUCUCAUCGCAAGAACUCAAUAACAUACAAUCAAUCCUCUUGCACUUCGUUUGAAGUACUCUCUGCUCAUAUAUGGAAGAGUUGGGCCACAUCAUUAAAUUUACCACCCAACCAAACAUUAAAAUUAUUAUUUACCAUCAACAUACGGAAUCGAGUGCAGCCAAGCUUGCCCAUCGGUUACUACGGUAACAGAUUCGUCUUAGGAUGCGCUCAAUCUUCUGCUAGAGAUUUAGUUGAAAAGGGAUUGGGAUACACAGUUGGAUUAGUGAAAAGAGCAAAAGAGCGAGUAGACGAUGAGUACGUUAAAGAAGUGGUGGAAUUAGUGAGUUCAAAUGGAACGAGUCCAGACUCAGUAGGUGUGUUAAUAAUGUCACAAUGGUCAAAACUGGGAUUAGAGAAAGUUGACAUAGGAAUGGGGAGGCCUGUUGAAGUAGGGCCAGUUUGUUGUGAUAGGUACUGUAUAUUAUUGCCAGUGUAUGAUCAGAAGGAUUCUGUGAAGGUAAAUGUUGCGGUCCCUACAAGUGCGGUUGACAAAUACUUGUAUCUUUUAAACACUACCACCACCAUUGGCACCUGACAAACAAGAUUUGACGGACGAUAUUCAAUUUCAUGACUUGAUUACACUUUAUAUAUGAAGGAGUACCUCUUCUUUUUUUCGAAUUUAAUGAGUACUAACAUAUAUAUGUUGACUUCAUGUACAUCGAUCGAUCAAUCCACGGAGGAAAAAAAAUGAGUAAAAGAUGAAUUUGUUGACUUUGUAAUUCUUUUGCUUCGUAUAAUUCAAUCUUAUUUAGGCAAUGGAGUUCUCCCUCACUUUCCCUAUA